AUGACAAACGAGGAAAGUAAAGCCCAAGGAGAUUUAAUGCCUGGCUCAAACAAGACAGACGAAGAGGCUAAGGGACAAGGAGAUUUAAUGCCUGGUUCAAACAAGACAGACCCCAUUUCUUACGUUACAGGCCGAGGAUUAAGAAACAAAUUUUUAUUCAAGAGCAAACUGAACCCACUUUGCAGCCUAGCGCUGUCAGGAAUACAGGGGCCAUUCCCACCCUCUUGGAGAAGGACAGAGGGCUCAGAAGGCAGAAACGGGAAAGAAAAACGACCCAAGACAGGCAUUAGUCUAUCUUGCCCCUCCCGCCCCACUCCCCCCGCAGACAGAGUUCACGAACCACCCAGACCCCGGGGGUUCAAGGACCGGGCACACGAGGAGCACUUGCGGCUCCAGCCCCAAACCCGCCGUGGGGGACCGCGGCGAGCCUGACCACGACGUGGCAGGCGGGUGCUCAGGCGUAGCAGAACGCGCGGCUGCGCCCAGUUCUCCUUCCCUGCAGACGCGGAGCAGCGAGAGAGGCUCAAGGGCCGGCGAGGGGCGGCCAGCCCAGGAAAGGGCCCGACCAGGCACCUGCCGAGAGAAUCGCCCGGCCCCGCGCUCACAAAGACCCCCGAGACAGGGCCUGACAGCCAGCUCCACUCAGCGCACACCCUCGAUCCCCGGGGGCAGCUCGGCUCGCCAGCAGCGGCAGGAGCAGAGACAGGCCGCGAGCGACGUUGGGUCGGAGGGAGGCCCGAAGGCCGGAGGAGCACCAGCUCCCGGGUCCAGGACAGGGAAGCGGGAAGAGACACAAAGCAAGUCCAUGAGGCCAGGUUGCCUGAGUGACAGCAGAGCGGAACCGGAAGAGACGUCAGAGCGCCCUUCCUCCCGCCCCUUCCGGCCAUUCUCCUUCCACUGUCUGGACAGCUCCAGGAUGCUGCACUUUGCUGGCCUGGCACUAAAUGUUGCCUGGCACCAAUUAUAGAGGGUCCCGCUCUACCCUGAGGGAAGCAGGGUCUCGGCGGCCGGAUUUACGGAAGUAGAGUCGGAGCUUUGAAGAGGUUUGUGCGCAUGCCUAGGACAAAGCAGGACUGCUGCUGGGACGUGGUGAAGUCUUUUCCGGUCGCCAGCGGGGGUCUGUUUAUUAAGCCUCCUUUGGGGAUAAGGCCGUGUGCCAGACCCUGGGCACACCAAGACCACACCGAAAACCCUGUCUCCAUCCAAAGAGCUUCCAGGAUGGGGCUGGUGCUCUCUAUCCUCGAAUCCAUGGAUCCCCAGCUUCCUUCCCUGCUCAGUUGAAGUCCCUCCUCCCACGUGGGGUCUUUCCCGCUCCCACCCCAGACCUGACCACGUGGUUGCCUCGUAUGUUGUCAGGGGCAACAGACCAUUGUUUUGUAUUUCUAUCACCGAGAACAGGUUCUUUUUUUUGUACUUUUUUUUAAAGCACGUA
rnacentral:lncRNA from 1 species